AACGAACGCUGGCGGCAUGCCUAACACAUGCAAGUCGAACGAGACCUUCGGGUCUAGUGGCGCACGGGUGCGUAACGCGUGGGAACCUGCCCUUAGGUUCGGAAUAACUCCCCGAAAGGGGUGCUAAUACCGGAUAAUGUCUUCGGACCAAAGAUUUAUCGCCUUUGGAUGGGCCCGCGUUGGAUUAGCUAGUUGGUAGGGUAAAAGCCUACCAAGGCGACGAUCCAUAGCUGGUCUGAGAGGAUGAUCAGCCACACUGGGACUGAGACACGGCCCAGACUCCUACGGGAGGCAGCAGUGGGGAAUAUUGGAAAAUGGGCGAAAGCCUGAUCCAGCAAUGCCGCGUGAGUGAUGAAGGCCUUAGGGUUGUAAAGCUCUUUUACCCGGGAUGUUAAUGACAGUACCGGGAGAAUAAGCUCCGGCUAACUCCGUG
rnacentral:rRNA from 1 species